rnacentral:rRNA from 1 species
CGCGUGCACUGGUUCGGCCGGGCCUUUCCUUCUGCGGAACGGCAUGCCCUUCACUGGGCGUGUUUUGGGAAGCAGGACUUUUACUUUGAAAAAAUUAGAGUGUUCAAAGCAGGCCUUUGCUCGAAUACAUUAGCAUGGAAUAAUGGAAUAGGACGGCGCUCCUAUUUUGUUGGUUUCUAGGAGAGCCGUAAUGAUUAAUAGGGACAGUUGGGGGCAUCCGUAUUCAGUUGUCAGAGGUGAAAUUCUUGGAUUUACUGAAGACGAACUACUGCGAAAGCAUUUGCCAAAGAUGUUUUCAUUAAUCAGUGAACGAAAGUUAGGGGAUCGAAGACGAUCAGAUACCGUCGUAGUCUUAACCAUAAACCAUGCCGACUAGGGAUCGGGCGAUGUUAUUGUAUUGACUCGCUCGGCACCUUUCGAGAAAUCAAAGUGUUUGGGUUCUGGGGGGAGUAUGGUCGCAAGGCUGAAACUUAAAGAAAUUGACGGAAGGGCACCACCAGGAGUGGAGCCUGCGGCUUAAUUUGACUCAACACGGGGAAACUCACCAGGUCCAGAUACACGUAGGAUUGACAGAUUGAGAGCUCUUUCUUGAUUGUGUAGUUGGUGGUGCAUGGCCGUUCUUAGUUGGUGGAGUGAUUUGUCUGCUUAAUUGCGAUAACGAACGAGACCUUCAUCGUUAACUAGCCCGGCUCGCCUCGGCGGGUCGCCGGCUUCUUAGCGAGACUUUUGG